AAUAAAAAUUUUGGUAAUGAUAAAAUAAUAAAUAAAGAUUUAACCCGUGUUAUAUCAAUCCAAACCCGUCCCGCUAUAUAACUCGUUUCAUGAUAUUUUAAU
rnacentral:sRNA from 1 species